rnacentral:rRNA from 1 species
UCGAUUAGAGUUUGAUUCUGGCUCAGGAUGAACGCUGGCGGCGUGCUUAAUACAUGCAAGUCGAACGAAGAGUGCAGCAAUGUGCUCUUAGUGGCGAACGGGUGCGUAACGCGUUGGUGACCUGCCCCAAAGUGUGGGAUAACAGUUCGAAAGGACUGCUAAUACCGCAUGUGAUCGUCGGUUUUAGAAUCCGGUGAUUAAAGCAGUAAUGCGCUUUGGGAGGGACCUGCGUCCCAUCAGCUAGUUGGUGAGGUAAUGGCCCACCAAGGCUACGACGGGUAGGGAACCUGAGAGGGUGGCUCCCCACACUGGCACUGAAACACGGGCCAGACACCUACGGGUGGCAGCAGUAGGGAAUAUUGGGCAAUGGGCGAAAGCCUGACCCAGCAACGCCGCGUGCACGAUGAAGGUCUUCGGAUCGUAAAGUGCUUUUCUGAGAGAUGAGAAAGGACAGUAUCUCAGGAAUAAGUCUCGGCUAACUACGUGCCAGCAGCCGCGGUAACACGUAGGAGGCAAGCGUUAUCCGGAUUUACUGGGCGUAAAGCGCGUGCAGGUGGUUCGGUAAGUUGGAUGUGAAAGCUCCUGGCUCAACUGGGAGAAGUCGUUCAAAACUACCGGACUUGAGAGCAGUAGAGGGAGGUGGAAUUCCCGGUGUNNUGGU